rnacentral:rRNA from 1 species
GGGCUGCACCAGAAGUAGAUAGCUUAACCUUCGGGAGGGCGUUUACCACGGUGUGGUUCAUGACUGGGGUGAAGUCGUAACAAGGUAGCCCUAGGGGAACCUGGGGCUGGAUCACCUCCUUACUGA